UACGAAGGGGGCUAGCGUUGUUCGGAAUUACUGGGCGUAAAGCGCACGUAGGCGGAUAUUUAAGUUAGGGGUGAAAUCCCGGGGCUCAACCCUGGAACUGCCUUUAAUACUGGGUAUCUCGAGUCCGAGAGAGGUGAGUGGAAUUCCGAGUGUAGAGGUGAAAUUCGUAGAUAUUCGGAGGAACACCAGUGGCGAAGGCGGCUCACUGGCUCGGUACUGACGCUGAGGUGCGAAAGCGUGGGGAGCAAACAGG
rnacentral:rRNA from 1 species